ensembl:snRNA U6 U6 spliceosomal RNA
GUACUCACUUCAACAGCACAUACACUAAAAUUGGAACAACACAGAGAAGAUCAGCAUGUUCCCUGCACAAGGAUGACAUGCAAAUUCGUGAAGCGUUCCACAUUUUU